UCAUAUACACACAGUACCCUCAGACACACAUAGCACCCUCAGACACACAGCACCCUCAGACCCACUCAGCACCCUCAGGCUGCUAUGUGUGUCUGAGGGUACUGUGUGUGUAUGAGGGUGCUGUGUGUCUGAGGCUGCUAUGUGUGUCUGAGGGUACUGUGUGUGUAUGAG